rnacentral:rRNA from 1 species
UACGAAGGGGGCUAGCGUUGUUCGGAAUUACUGGGCGUAAAGCGUGCGCAGGCGGCUUCUCAAGUCAGGGGUGAAAGCCCAGAGCUCAACUCUGGAAUUGCCUUUGAGACUGAGAGGCUUGAGUACGGGAGAGGUGAGUGGAAUUCCCAGUGUAGAGGUGAAAUUCGUAGAUAUCGGGAGGAACAUCAGUGGCGAAGGCGGCUGCCUGGCCCAAUACUGACACUCAGGUGCGACAGCGUGGGGAGCAAACAGG